AUUUAGCAAAAUCUUGACCAGGGUAGUCCUAGUGAGGAGUCACAGGACUAAUUGAGUUGAGCACGAUUCGGAUGAUCUCAUCAGGGUUGACAGUUUAAUCCUGAGUCAUCCUAAACACAGGGGUCAAAAGGGAUGAAUUAUACGGUAACCACAUUCACGUAGGUUCUGAAUGUUGCGAUUGCGAUUAUUCGACCUAUCCGAUCGUCGGGUACCAUUGCUAGAUGGUCACUUCGAUUAGUACAGGAAUUGGUUCCUGUGCUACCGGCUUAGGUUCGAACCUGCGGGGUCACACACAUUAGAGGUUCUUUUCUGAUUUGAUGGCUGAUUAUGAGUCUUAUCUGUCUGGGACUCUAUGAUUGAGAAUUAGGAUUCUCUGAUCAUGAGUUUCACACAUUUUGGGUACCGGAUUCAAAAUUUUGAAUUUCAGAUUUUGAAUUUGAAAUUUGAAUUCUUUGAUCAGGGUUUCAUAUUGAUGGUCUCUGAUGCCUGAUUGCCCAUCGGAUUUGAACUCAAUAUUUAUGAGAGAUUUAAUUAGUGAUUUGAUCGCUAAUUAACUCAAUUUGAUUGAGUAAUUAUUUUUAGAUCAAGUCCAAUUGAAUUGGAUUCAGUUUGGAUUGACCCGAUUAGGUUAAAUGUUGACCUAAUCGCUAAGGUGGUUUAGUCUCUGAUUUGAUCAGGGGAUAGGCUUAGUUAAUUUCUAAUUUAAUUAAGAUUUUAUUGAGCCUAAUUAAGCCUAAUUAUGUUAGGUUUAAUCUAUUCUAAUUGUGCUUAACCUAUUUAGAUUAGGUUGGCUCAAUUUGAAUCAAACCAUCUUGUUUUAAAUUCCCUGCGACACCCAACUUCCUUGCACCCAUUUGAAUUCACGAGAAGAAACUUCUCGUGAAAUUUUUCUCACGCAAAACCCUUCCCCACGCCCUCAUUUGUGCACCAUAUGGAUGGAUAAAAUAAUUAGUUAGCCAUUCAAAUUCAAAGCAUGUUUGAAUUUGAAUGGAUAACUUAUCACUUGCCCAUUCAUCCUUAUCCAUUUUGUGUGCCACAUUACUUACACGAGAAAAGGUUUCUCAUGAAACAUUUUUCAUGCACAAAGAGCCACGCCCCUUCUCUUCUCACGCCCAAAAGGAUAGGGAUAAGUUGGUUUUCGUUUGAAUUCAAAUUUGAUUUGAAUUCAAAUGUGUAACCACUUGUCUUUAUCCUCUCACGCGGAUAAGAUACGUUCGACGUUGUUUUAAAAAUGGAAGAAAGGUGGGGCGUGCGCAGAAAAAUUAAGAGAAAGAAAGUGGGGCGUGAGGAAGGCUUGUGUGCGAGGUGAAGGUCCAAAACCUUCUGAGAGAAAAAGAAAGAAAAGAGAGAAAAUUGGGCGCAGAGUUUUUGGUGUGUACCCUAGGGUUUCUACCUAGGGAUCGGGAAGUGAGAUUGGUGUGCCACGAGUGUCAUGAGUCCAUCAAAUUUUAGGGAGAGAUCCAUCAGCCUCUCAAGCAAUUGUGCAGAUGAUCUGGAGCAUCCGAGAAGUCAGCACACAUCGAUCGAAGGAGUUAGAUCAACAUCUGCCAUCAAAAGGGUGAAAUCACGAACUAGCAUUCGUGAGGAGCUGAUCAGACGGGAGCUUCGUGUGGACGAUCC
rnacentral:lncRNA from 1 species